ensembl:lncRNA novel transcript
AGCUGGAUCGAGACGCCCUCCUCGAUCAAGUCCAUCGACUCCAGCGACUCGGGGAUUUACGAGCAGGCCAAGCGGAGGCGGAUCUCGCCGGCCGACACGCCCGUGUCCGAGAGUUCGUCCCCGCUCAAGAGCGAGGUGCUGGCCCAGCGGGACUGCGAGAAGAACUGCGCCAAGGACAUUAGCGGCUACUAUGGCUUCUACUCGCACAGCUAGGCCGCCCCUGCCCGCCCGGCAGCCGAAUAGGAUUUAGGACGUGGAAUCCUGUUUCGGACUAGCAGAAACUUACUGAACAGUUUGUUUCAAAAAUCAGGUUGUUUCUGUCUUUUUAGGACCGACUUACAUCACUGGAGCUUUUAAAUUGUAGUAAUUUAGGGUCUAUAGAUAACUUUCUGAACCUCUUAUCCCCCGCAGUUAACAUUUUCAUAUAAAUCUCACUGCUACAACUCUUUGUGACCCACCUUUUUUUGGGGUGUUAUUGAGUAUUUAUAUUUUUAGCGCUGAAGCUUUAAAGGAUGCUCUACUUUCUGCUUAAGAUGCAGGUUUGGAACAAAAGCUUCGUU